rnacentral:rRNA from 1 species
UUUUAUGGAGAGUUUGAUCCUGGCUCAGGAUGAACGCUGGCGGCGUGCCUAAUACAUGCAAGUCGAGCGAACGGACGAGAAGCUUGCUUCUCUGAUGUUAGCGGCGGACGGGUGAGUAACAACGUGGAUAACCUACCUAUAAGACUGGGAUAACUUCGGGAAACCGGAGCUAAUACCGGAUAAUAUUUUGAACCGCAUGGUUCAAAAGUGAAAGACGGUCUUGCUGUCACUUAUAGAUGGAUCCGCGCUGCAUUAGCUAGUUGGUAAGGUAACGGCUUACCAAGGCAACGAUGCAUAGCCGACCUGAGAGGGUGAUCGGCCACACUGGAACUGAGACACGGUCCAGACUCCUACGGGAGGCAGCAGUAGGGAAUCUUCCGCAAUGGGCGAAAGCCUGACGGAGCAACGCCGCGUGAGUGAUGAAGGUCUUCGGAUCGUAAAACUCUGUUAUUAGGGAAGAACAUAUGUGUAAGUAACUGUGCACAUCUUGACGGUACCUAAUCAGAAAGCCACGGCUAACUACGUGCCAGCAGCCGCGGUAAUACGUAGGUGGCAAGCGUUAUCCGGAAUUAUUGGGCGUAAAGCGCGCGUAGGCGGUUUUUUAAGUCUGAUGUGAAAGCCCACGGCUCAACCGUGGAGGGUCAUUGGAAACUGGAAAACUUGAGUGCAGAAGAGGAAAGUGGAAUUCCAUGUGUAGCGGUGAAAUGCGCAGAGAUAUGGAGGAACACCAGUGGCGAAGGCGACUUUCUGGUCUGUAACUGACGCUGAUGUGCGAAAGCGUGGGGAUCAAACAGGAUUAGAUACCCUGGUAGUCCACGCCGUAAACGAUGAGUGCUAAGUGUUAGGGGGUUUCCGCCCCUUAGUGCUGCAGCUAACGCAUUAAGCACUCCGCCUGGGGAGUACGACCGCAAGGUUGAAACUCAAAGGAAUUGACGGGGACCCGCACAAGCGGUGGAGCAUGUGGUUUAAUUCGAAGCAACGCGAAGAACCUUACCAAAUCUUGACAUCCUUUGACAACUCUAGAGAUAGAGCCUUCCCCUUCGGGGGACAAAGUGACAGGUGGUGCAUGGUUGUCGUCAGCUCGUGUCGUGAGAUGUUGGGUUAAGUCCCGCAACGAGCGCAACCCUUAAGCUUAGUUGCCAUCAUUAAGUUGGGCACUCUAAGUUGACUGCCGGUGACAAACCGGAGGAAGGUGGGGAUGACGUCAAAUCAUCAUGCCCCUUAUGAUUUGGGCUACACACGUGCUACAAUGGACAAUACAAAGGGCAGCGAAACCGCGAGGUCAAGCAAAUCCCAUAAAGUUGUUCUCAGUUCGGAUUGUAGUCUGCAACUCGACUACAUGAAGCUGGAAUCGCUAGUAAUCGUAGAUCAGCAUGCUACGGUGAAUACGUUCCCGGGUCUUGUACACACCGCCCGUCACACCACGAGAGUUUGUAACACCCGAAGCCGGUGGAGUAACCUUUUAGGAGCUAGCCGUCGAAGGUGGGACAAAUGAUUGGGGUGAAGUCGUAACAAGGUAGCCGUAUCGGAAGGUGCGGCUGGAUCACCUCCUUUCU